AUGGCUGAGUAGUAUUCCAUUGUGUAUAUGUAACACAUAUUCUUUAUUCAGUCCUCUAUCACAGGAUCUUUGGUUGUCUCUAUCAUUCAUUUAAAGCUGCU